AAGAGGGGUUUGCGUCUGAUUAGCUAGUUGGUGGGGUAACGGUCCACCAAGGCGACGAUCCAUAGCCGGCCUGAGAGGGUGAACGGCCACAUUGGGACUGAGACACGGCCCAGACUCCUACGGGAGGCAGCAGUGGGGAAUAUUGCACAAUGGGGGAAACCCUGAUGCAGCGACGCCGCGUGAAGGAAGAAGUAUCUCGGUAUGUAAACUUCUAUCAGCAGGGAAGAUAGUGACGGUACCUGACUAAGAAGCCCCGGCUAACUACGUGCCAGCAGCCGCGGUAAUACGUAGGGGGCAAGCGUUAUCCGGAUUUACUGGGUGUAAAGGGAGCGUAGACGGUGUGGCAAGUCUGAUGUGAAAGGCAUGGGCUCAACCUGUGGACUGCAUUGGAAACUGUCAUACUUGAGUGCCGGAGGGGUAAGCGGAAUUCCUAGUGUAGCGGUGAAAUGCGUAGAUAUUAGGAGGAACACCAGUGGCGAAGGCGGCUUACUGGACGGUAACUGACGUUGAGG
rnacentral:rRNA from 1 species